UACGGGGGGGGUAAGCGUUGUUCGGAAUUACUGGGCGUAAAGCGCACGUAGGCGGCUUUGUAAGUUAGAGGUGAAAGCCCGGAGCUCAACUCCGGAACUGCCUUUAAGACUGCAUCGCUUGAAUCCAGGAGAGGUGAGUGGAAUUCCGAGUGUAGAGGUGAAAUUCGUAGAUAUUCGGAAGAACACCAGUGGCGAAGGCGGCUCACUGGACUGGUAUUGACGCUGAGGUGGCGAAAGCGUGGGGAGCAAAGCAGGG
rnacentral:rRNA from 1 species